rnacentral:rRNA from 1 species
GACGAACGCUGGCGGCGUGCCUAAUACAUGCAAGUAGAACGCUGAAGGAGGAGCUUGCUUCUCUGGAUGAGUUGCGAACGGGUGAGUAACGCGUAGGUAACCUGCCUGGUAGCGGGGGAUAACUAUUGGAAACGAUAGCUAAUACCGCAUAAGAGUAGAUGUCGCAUGACAUUUGCUUAAAAGGUGCAAUUGCAUCACUACCAGAUGGACCUGCGUUGUAUUAGCUAGUUGGUGAGGUAACGGCUCACCAAGGCAACGAUACAUAGCCGACCUGAGAGGGUGAUCGGCCACACUGGGACUGAGACACGGCCCAGACUCCUACGGGAGGCAGCAGUAGGGAAUCUUCGGCAAUGGACGGAAGUCUGACCGAGCAACGCCGCGUGAGUGAAGAAGGUUUUCGGAUCGUAAAGCUCUGUUGUAAGAGAAGAACGAGUGUGAGAGUGGAAAGUUCACACUGUGACGGUAUCUUACCAGAAAGGGACGGCUAACUACGUGC